GAAAACGCAACGAAGGAAUUGUCCGCUUAUUCGCGUUUCAGAGAGCCGGUGGUGGCUGCGAACCGGUACGUGGGAAGUGAGACGAGCAUUCCAGAGCAUUUUUUCCGAACGCCGUUCGACCUCGUGGAGGCGGGCAGGAUUAGUAGGGAGAGACGGACGGCCCCGUUAUCGGCUUUGUUCUGGGUAGCAAUCGAUUGGGGCAGCGCCCCUGUUGCGACCUGCUGAGGCAGUUGUGCGCGAGCCAACUGCGAAGAAGGGUGGAACCGCGAAGGAGUUUCAUAAUCCUCUCGUCCCUUUC
rnacentral:ncRNA from 1 species